UACGUAGGGUGCAAGCGUUAAUCGGAAUUACUGGGCGUAAAGCGUGCGCAGGCGGUUCGUCGUGUCUGAUGUGAAAGCCCCGGGCUCAACCUGGGAAUGGCAUUGGAAACUGGCGGACUAGAGUGUGGCAGAGGGGGGGUGGAAUUCCGGCGUGUAGCAGUGAAAUGCGUAGAUAUGCGGAGGAACACCGAUGGCGAAGGCAAUCCCCUGGGCCUGCACUGACGCUCAUGCACGAAAGCGUGGGGAGCAAACAGG
rnacentral:rRNA from 1 species